UAAAGGUUUAGUUGAGUUGAGUAGAUACAAUUGAAAAAUCAACAAAGCCCUUGACUCAUAAAAUUGAAAAACACCUUAACAAAAUUAAGCCAAUUACUAUCCAGUGCAAUUAAACAUGAAGUAAGAGUACACUAAUUCAACUAAACUCUGAAUGUUCACCUGCAGUGCUUAGAGCAUAGUUUUAUGAUGUUAUUUAAGUUUCCUAAUUCACAUGCAAUUUGUGUCCUCCAUCACCCUCGCAAAAUGGCUAUGUAGACAUUGAAUUGAAGUAUUCUUCAACAUUCAAUUUGUAUAUGAAAAACUAAAAUUAAAAUCUUUCUUCUUCAUCUCACUUCCAACUCAACAAUCAUGUAUGUAUAUUUGUCUAUUUGGCAAGGUAAUUUUUAUAGCCUGUCCCUAAAUUUUGUCUCGUGUUUCAUUUUCGUCCCCGAACUUCAAUUUAUUAUAAUAAAAUCACUCAACUUUA
rnacentral:misc_RNA from 1 species